rnacentral:lncRNA from 12 species
AUGAUGACAAAAGGUUUUUUUUUUUUUUUUUUUUUUUUUUUUUUUUUUUUUUUUUUUUUUUUUUUUUUUUUUUUUUUUUUUUUUUUUUUUUUUUUUUUUUUUUUUUUUUUUUUUUUUUUUUUUUUUUUUUUUUUUUUUUUUUUUUUUUUUUUUUUUUUUUUUUUUUUUUUUUUUUUUUUUUUUUUUUUUUUUUUUUUUUUUUUUUUUUUUUUUUUUUUUUUUUUUUUUUUUUUUUUUUUUUUUUUUUUUUUUUUUUUUUUUUUUUUUUUUUUUUUUUUUUUUUUUUUUUUUUUUUUUUUUUUUUUUUUUUUUUUUUUUUUUUUUUUUUUUUUUUUUUUUUUUUUUUUUUUUUUUUUUUUUUUUUUUUUUUUUUUUUUUUUUUUUUUUUUUUUUUUUUUUUUUUUUUUUUUUUUUUUUUUUUUUUUUUUUUUUUUUUUUUUUUUUUUUUUUUUUUUUUUUUUUUUUUUUUUUUUUUUUUUUUUUUUUUUUUUUUUUUUUUUUUUUUUUUUUUUUUUUUUUUUUUUUUUUUUUUUUUUUUUUUUUUUUUUUUUUUUUUUUUUUUUUUUUUUUUUUUUUUUUUUUUUUUUUUUUUUUUUUUUUUUUUUUUUUUUUUUUUUUUUUUUUUUUUUUUUUUUUUUUUUUUUUUUUUUUUUUUUUUUUUUUUUUUUUUUUUUUUUUUUUUUUUUUUUUUUUUUUUUUUUUUUUUUUUUUUUUUUUUUUUUUUUUUUUUUUUUUUUUUUUUUUUUUUUUUUUUUUUUUUUUUUUUUUUUUUUUUUUUUUUUUUUUUUUUUUUUUUUUUUUUUUUUUUUUUUUUUUUUUUUUUUUUUUUUUUUUUUUUUUUUUUUUUUUUUUUUUUUUUUUUUUUUUUUUUUUUUUUUUUUUUUUUUUUUUUUUUUUUUUUUUUUUUUUUUUUUUUUUUUUUUUUUUUUUUUUUUUUUUUUUUUUUUUUUUUUUUUUUUUUUUUUUUUUUUUUUUUUUUUUUUUUUUUUUUUUUUUUUUUUUUUUUUUUUUUUUUUUUUUUUUUUUUUUUUUUUUUUUUUUUUUUUUUUUUUUUUUUUUUUUUUUUUUUUUUUUUUUUUUUUUUUUUUUUUUUUUUUUUUUUUUUUUUUUUUUUUUUUUUUUUUUUUUUUUUUUUUUUUUUUUUUUUUUUUUUUUUUUUUUUUUUUUUUUUUUUUUUUUUUUUUUUUUUUUUUUUUUUUUUUUUUUUUUUUUUUUUUUUUUUUUUUUUUUUUUUUUUUUUUUUUUUUUUUUUUUUUUUUUUUUUUUUUUUUUUUUUUUUUUUUUUUUUUUUUUUUUUUUUUUUUUUUUUUUUUUUUUUUUUUUUUUUUUUUUUUUUUUUUUUUUUUUUUUUUUUUUUUUUUUUUUUUUUUUUUUUUUUUUUUUUUUUUUUUUUUUUUUUUUUUUUUUUUUUUUUUUUUUUUUUUUUUUUUUUUUUUUUUUUUUUUUUUUUUUUUUUUUUUUUUUUUUUUUUUUUUUUUUUUUUUUUUUUUUUUUUUUUUUUUUUUUUUUUUUUUUUUUUUUUUUUUUUUUUUUUUUUUUUUUUUUUUUUUUUUUUUUUUUUUUUUUUUUUUUUUUUUUUUUUUUUUUUUUUUUUUUUUUUUUUUUUUUUUUUUUUUUUUUUUUUUUUUUUUUUUUUUUUUUUUUUUUUUUUUUUUUUUUUUUUUUUUUUUUUUUUUUUUUUUUUUUUUUUUUUUUUUUUUUUUUUUUUUUUUUUUUUUUUUUUUUUUUUUUUUUUUUUUUUUUUUUUUUUUUUUUUUUUUUUUUUUUUUUUUUUUUUUUUUUUUUUUUUUUUUUUUUUUUUUUUUUUUUUUUUUUUUUUUUUUUUUUUUUUUUUUUUUUUUUUUUUUUUUU